rnacentral:rRNA from 1 species
AAUGAACGCUGGCGGCGCGCCUAAUACAUGCAAGUCGAGCGAGAAGACGUAGCAAUACGUUUGUAAAGCGGCGAACGGGUGAGGAAUACAUGGGUAACCUACCCUAGAGUGGGGAAUAACUAGCCGAAAGGUUAGCUAAUACCGCGUAUGCUCCUUGGACUUCGGUUCAGGGAGGAAAGCGAUGCCGAGGGUAUCGCGCUCUUGGAUGGGCUCAUGUCCUAUCAGCUUGUUGGGAGGUAACGGCUCACCAAGGCUUCGACGGGUAGCUGGUCUGAGAGGACGAUCAGCCACACUGGCACUGCGACACGGGCCAGACUCCUACGGGAGGCAGCAGUAAGGAAUAUUGCGCAAUGGGCGAAAGCCUGACGCAGCGACGCCGCGUGGGGGA